rnacentral:rRNA from 1 species
UACGGGGGGGGCAAGCGGUUGUUCGGAAUUACUGGGCGUAAAGGGCUCGUAGGCGGCCAACUAAGUCAGACGUGAAAUCCCUCGGCUUAACCGGGGAACUGCGUCUGAUACUGGAUGGCUUGGAGUUUGGGAGAGGGAUGCGGAAUUCCAGGUGUAGCGGUGAAAUGCGUAGAUAUCUGGAGGAACACCGGUGGCGAAGG